rnacentral:rRNA from 1 species
CCUACGGGAGGCAGCAGUGGGGAAUUUUUGACAAUGGGCGCAAGCCUGAUCCAGCUAUUCCGCGUGUGGGAAGACGGCCUUCGGGUUGUAAACCACUUUUGUAGAGAACGAAAAGUCUGUUGAUAAUACCGAUAGAUGAUGACGGUACUCUAAGAAUAAGCACCGGCUAACUACGUGCCAGCAGCCGCGGUAAUACGUAGGGUGCGAGCGUUAAUCGGAAUUACUGGGCGUAAAGGGUGUGCAGGCGGUUUUGAAAGAUGGAUGUGAAAGCCCCGGGCUUAACCUGGGAAAGACAUACAUGACUGCAAGACUAGAGUGCGUCAGAGGGGGGUGGAAUUCCAAGUGUAGCAGUGAAAUGCGUAGAUAUUUGGAAGAACACCGAUGGCGAAGGCAGCCCCCUGGGACGCAACUGACGCUCAUACACGAAAGCGUGGGGAGCAAACAGGAUUAGAUACCCCAGUAGUC